CUUAUUUCCAGGAGGAACCCAACAUCCCACGACUCAUCACCCGAGCAACCGAGGUCUGUGCUUCCCAUCUGCUGGCUGCUGCAAUCUCGUGUUAUCAACUACUCAGAUCCCGGCGACAAGAAAGGGGAGUCGGCUCGUCGCAGCCCCUACGGUGGCAGGUGGGCAGGGGAGAAAGGGGAGUUUCCGUCCGUGGAGCGGCAUCGAUCUCGUCAGAAUAUUUUGGAUCAGCAUGUUGUGGUUUGUGCAUGGAAGUUCAAAAUAAGAUGUGCUAUGUCUAAACUUUGGGAACGAAAUCUUAAGGUACUAUUCUGCAUGUCAUCUAUUUUCUUCCAUGCCUUGUUAAGUAAAUCAAACAUAUUAUUGUCUAAUGAAGUUCUGAUACAAGAAACUAACACUGCAGCUUUAAGUGUAGAAAAUGAGGCAAAGCAACUCUAUAUCACUAUGUGUGCCUGCUUACGAGAUUGUAAAGAUGGAACCACAGGAGAAGAACUCACAGAGCACAUCACUUGGUGCAAGGUUUGCAAGAAUAUAUUUAAGAUGAAUGGGACACUACCACACUGGGGUUGCAAUGGUAUCAAAGAUUCAGAUGAUCAGUGGCUGAAUUCUGACAGUUGAAUGCCCACUUCAAGAUCUAAGAAAGAAGCGAAGGAAUUUGCGAAGAUGAUAUAUGAAUAGAUGUAUUGCACAAUUAUCUAGCAGCUUGCUGCUAAAAUGUGUAUUUUUUUCUUUUUAAAAGAUAUGCCUAUAAAUUUCUUUGUUACAAGAUGUAAACAAUAAUUCUGUAAAUUUCCUUAUUGCAAUGCAAUAUAUUAUGAUCAUUUCACUUCUUC
rnacentral:lncRNA from 1 species